ACACACUCCAACCAAGGAAUAAUUACACACGUUUGUUACUAAUGUAUGAAAUACAAACGCAAAUAGGGCACUAUGUGGUUAUUUAAACGGUAAAAAAUCGUAUUCGCAUUACUCGCUGAGAAUUGUAAUUUAUAACUCGUCGACUAUAAUUGGUGCUUGAAGUAUAUUAGCCAAACGGUAUAAAAUCGAGAUGGAUAGACGUAGGUGGAUAGGUGUACUCUUUCAGCGAUUUUCGUCUGGAAAAUACUUUUUAAAACGAAUAAAAAAAUAAGGACGGACAUACUUCACACGUGGGUGCAGCCACUGAUUUAGGUGGCAAGUUAGGAAGGUUAGAUACAGACGGGAAUUUAAUGUACAUUUGUAAGCAACGAUAAACCAUUGUUAAGGAAAAAACGAUUCUGAGCGGAGUUCAGUUGA